rnacentral:rRNA from 1 species
CAGAACGAACGCUGGCGGCAUGCCUAACACAUGCAAGUCGAACGAGGCCCUUCGGGGUUUAGUGGCUCACGGGUGCGUAACGCGUGGGAAUCUGCCCUUUGGUUCGGAAUAACAGCUGGAAACGGCUGCUAAUACCGGAUGAUGACGAAAGUCCAAAGAUUUAUCGCCAGAGGAUGAGCCCGCGUUGGAUUAGGUAGUUGGUGGGGUAAAGGCCUACCAAGCCGACGAUCCAUAGCUGGUCUGAGAGGAUGAUCAGCCACACUGGGACUGAGACACGGCCCAGACUCCUACGGGAGGCAGCAGUGGGGAAUAUUGGACAAUGGGCGCAAGCCUGAUCCAGCAAUGCCGCGUGAGUGAUGAAGGCCCUAGGGUUGUAAAGCUCUUUUACCCGGGAAGAUAAUGACUGUACCGGGAGAAUAAGCCCCGGCUAACUCCGUG